GAACAUUGAUGAUCCUGACUCUAUGGAAACAGAAAUCUACCUGGAAAACUGUCGCUCACCUAACAGAGUUGAGAAGGAUGUUAUGUCUUAUGUUCUUAAGAGAAAUGCAGUAAGAGCCCUGUGAAAUUCAUCUUUGCAUCUCCCAUUUGGUUGCUACAGAGAACGCUGGCGGUUACAUCACAUGCUGACCUCUUUAUGAAGCCUCUCAAGAGAAAUUUCGUUCUGGUCUUAGUAUUAGGAAUACCAGCGCUUCACUUGGAUAAUUGGUCUGUUUUUGUUUUUGUUUUACAGACACUGUAAGUGAUGUAACUAAUUAAGUUUCCUUUUCUAGACUGCCUGCUAGAAAGCUUAGAGACCAAUUUGUAGUCUACCCAGAGUAAAUGAGUAGAAUUGUAUAAGCAUUUUAGUGUAAGCUUCAUUCUUGUCCCAUUUGUUAUUCAUUUCUUGGUGUAUGUUAUGGAUCCUUUGAAGCCACCUUAAACCCUCUCUGGAACAAGGCUGUGUUUUAAGUAGAUAAAUAAAGUAAAUUUUUAAAAUGCAGAUUAAAAAA